UACGGGGGGGCAAGCGUUGUUCGGAAUUACUGAGCGUAAAGGGUGCGUAGGCGGUGCUCUAAGUCGGAUGUGAAAACUCUGGGCUCAACCCAGAGCCUGGCAUCCGAAACUGGAGUGCUAGAGUUCUGGAGGGGGUAGCGGAAUUCCUGGUGUAGCGGUGAAAUGCGUAGAUAUCAGGAGGAACACCGGUGGCGAAGGCGGCUACCUGGACAGAAACUGACGCUGAGGCACGAAAGCUAGGGGAGCAAACAGG
rnacentral:rRNA from 1 species